UCCGGUUGAUCCUGCCAGAGGCCGCUGCUAUCCGGCUGGGACUAAGCCAUGCUAGUCUAGGGGCUUGUACCCCUUCGGGGGUGCAAGCACCGGCGGACGGCUCAGUAACACGUGGACAACCUGCCCUCGGGUGGGGGAUAACCCCGGGAAACUGGGGCUAAUCCCCCAUAGGUGAUGGGUGCUGGAAUGCCCCAUCUCCGAAAGCGCUCAGCGCCCGAGGAUGGGUCUGCGGCGGAUUAGGUAGUUGGUGGGGUAACGGCCCACCAAGCCUAAGAUCCGUACGGGCUGUGGGAGCAGGAGCCCGGAGAUGGACCCUGAGACAAGGGUCCAGGCCCUACGGGGCGCAGCAGGCGCGAAACCUCCGCAAUGCGGGAAACCGCGACGGGGUUAGCCGGAGUGCCCGUGCAUUGCACGGGCUGUCGGGGUGCCUAAACAGCACCCCAUAGCAAGGGCCGGGCAAGGCCGGUGGCAGCCGCCGCGGUAAGACCGGCGGCCCGAGUGGCGGCCACUCUUAUUGGGCCUAAAGCGUCCGUAGCCGGCCCAGUAAGUCCCCCGGGAAAUCUGGUCGCUUAACGAUCAGACUUCCGGGGGAUACUGCUGGGCUAGGGACCGGGAGAGGCCGAGGGUAUUCCCGGGGUAGGGGUGAAAUCCUGUAAUCCCGGGAGGACCACCUGUGGCGAAGGCGCUCGGCU
rnacentral:rRNA from 1 species